rnacentral:misc_RNA from 1 species
UUUCCGUAGGUGAACCUGCGGAGGGAUCAUUAUUGGAUUUUGAAACUUCGGGCUGCUGCUGGCUCUCCUCGGAGGGCAUGUGCACGCUUGUUGUCCAUUAUUUCUCCCACUGUGCACAAAUUGUAGACCUUUCAGUAGGCCUAUGUUGUUUUUCACGAUCUCUGAAUGUAAUAGAAUGGUUUUGAAUCUUGGGAAAUACAAUACAACUUUCAGCAACGGAUCUCUUGGCUCUCGCAUCGAUGAAGAACCAGC